UCCCUGGUGGUCCAGUGGUUAGGACUCAGCACUUUCACUGCUGAGGGCCUGAGGGCCCAGGUUCAAUCCCCGGUCAGUGAA